UACACAACUUUUGUUGCUUUGGCAGGCCCGUCCUUCGGGGCCGCCGGGGGUGUUCAGUCACCUCGGGCCCGCGCUUGCCAAUAGCCUAUUCAAAAUCCUUUUUUACCAACCAUGAAGUCUGAAAAUUAAUUAUAAAUAUAAUUAAAACUUUCAACAACGGAUCUCUUGGUUCUGGCAUCGAUGAAGAACGCAGCGAAAUGCGAUAAGUAAUGUGAAUUGCAGAAUUCAGUGAAUCAUCGAAUCUUUGAACGCACAUUGCGCCCUUUGGUAUUCCGAAGGGCAUGCCUGUUCGAGCGUCAUUAUCAACCAUCAAGCCCGGCUUGUUAUUGGGUCCUCGUAUCGUUAAAGAUAGGCCCGAAAGAUAAUGGCGGCGUCAAGAAUGACCCCAGAUGCAGCGAGCUUUGUAAGCAUACAUCGAGGUGGUGUUCUUGGCCUGGCCUUGAAUUUCAUUGAAAAAUGAAUGUUCUUUCUAAGGUUGACCUCGGAUCAGGUAGGAAUACCCGCUGAACUUAAGCAUAUCAAUAAGCGG
rnacentral:rRNA from 1 species